AUACGUAGGGGGCGAGCGUUGUCCGGAAUGAUUGGGCGUAAAGGGCGCGUAGGCGGCCCGGUAAGUCUGGAGUGAAAGUCCUGUUUUUAAGAUGGGAAUUGCUUUGGAUACUGUCGGGCUUGAGUGCAGGAGAGGUAAGUGGAAUUCCCAGUGUAGCGGUGAAAUGCGUAGAGAUUGGGAGGAACACCAGUGGCGAAGGCGACUUACUGGACUGUAACUGACGCUGAGGCGCGAAAGUGUGGGGAGCAAACAGGAUUAGAUACCCUGGUAGUCCACACUGUAAACGAUGAAUGCUAGGUGUAGGGGGUAUCGACCCCUUCUGUGCCGCAGUCAACACAAUAAGCAUUCCGCCUGGGGAGUACGGCCGCAAGGUUAAAACUCAAAUGAAUUGACGGGG
rnacentral:rRNA from 1 species